rnacentral:rRNA from 1 species
UAGGGAAUAUUGGACAAUGGGGGCAACCCCGAUCCAGCCAUGCCGCGUGAGUGAAGAAGGCCCUCGGGUUGUAAAGCUCUUUUGUCCGGAAAGAAAAGCUUCGGGUUAAUACCCCGGGGUUCUGACGGUACCGGAAGAAUAAGCACCGGCUAACUUCGUGCCAGCAGCCGCGGUAAUACGAAGGGUGCAAGCGUUACUCGGAAUUACUGGGCGUAAAGCGUGCGUAGGUGGUUGUUUAAGUCUGAUGUGAAAGCCCUGGGCUCAACCUGGGAAUGGCAUUGGAAACUGGGCAGCUAGAGUGCGGUAGAGGGUAGUGGAAUUCCCGGUGUAGCAGUGAAAUGCGUAGAGAUCGGGAGGAACAUCUGCGGCGAAGGCGACUGCCUGGACCAGCACUGACACUGAGGCACGAAAGCGUGGGGAGCAAACA